GAUGAACGCUGGCGGCGUGCUUAACACAUGCAAGUCGAACGGAAAGGCCCAAGCUUGCUUGGGUACUCGAGUGGCGAACGGGUGAGUAACACGUGGGUGAUCUGCCCUGCACUUCGGGAUAAGCCUGGGAAACUGGGUCUAAUACCGGAUAGGACGAUGGUUUGGAUGCCAUUGUGGAAAGUUUUUUCGGUGUGGGAUGAGCUCGCGGCCUAUCAGCUUGUUUGUGGGGUAAUGGCCUACCAAGGCGUCGACGGGUAGCCGGCCUGAGAGGGUGUACGGCCACAUUGGGACUGAGAUACGGCCCAGACUCCUACGGGAGGCAGCAGUGGGGAAUAUUGCACAAUGGGCGCAAGCCUGAUGCAGCGACGCCGCGUGGGGGAUGACGGCCUUCGGGUUGUAAACUCCUUUCGCUAGGGACGAAGCGUUUUUGUGACGGUACCUGGAGAAGAAGCACCGGCUAACUACGUG
rnacentral:rRNA from 1 species